UUUAUUUCAAUUAGAAUUUGAUUUGCUUUUAUAAUGUAGUAGAAUAAUUACUGAUAAUUAAUUANUUUUAUUAAAUGAUUGCUUCUGACAACAGAGUAUUCAUGACGGUCUCCANAGCAACGGUUAUUUGACUUGCAUUUAUCGGUAGUUAAUAAAAGAACAAUUAAAGUUGAUAAGUACUGUUUAAGUGGUUAGAAAUAGCUUUAGUUCUUCGUGCGGCAAAAUGGAUGCAAGCUUUGUCAGUCAAAUGUCCUGCAUUUGUGUUGGGCCGAAACGUGCAGGAAAAACCCACCUUCUAAAGGCACUGGAGAAUCCGGACUGUAUUGAUGAGACAACCUAUUCAAUGCCAACAAAUGGCACAAAUAUUUUUACAAUCAAUCUUUCAACAAAGCUUCCAAAUGCUUCAAACCCAACUGAGAAAAAACAGACAGAUUUAAAUGAUGAAAAGACCAGCAACGAAGUCUCAGGCGCCACAGAGCUAAAGUGUAAGAGGGCCAAAGCUCCAUUAAAAUGCAUACGAGUUUUGGAAAUUGGUGGUGCGAUGGCACCACUCUGGCGACAAUAUUAUGAAAAAGUGUCAAAAAUAAUUUAUGUCGUUGACACUUCAAAUCUUUGUCAAAUUUCUGCAGCAGGGGUUCUGCUCUAUUCUAUAUUGGCCGACCCUCGAUUGCAGCGCUGUCGAAUUUUGUUAGUUUUAGCUAAGAUGGAUUACGCCUACCGGCANAUGCGCAAUGAAGCUUUACUUAUGCUACAAAUAUCCGUGAGAACUCUGUAUUUCGAUUCAGAAAUACAAUUUUAAGUAGAACUAGAAGUUCAGGCACAAAUUUUCAAGACCGUUCGAUUACUUUAUAAAAGCUUCAAAAGGAAAUUCGGCAACAGUUAACUAUUGUGGAGGCUAGCGCCGUCAGUCACGUGGGUUUCGAAGCUAUAUAUGCCUG
rnacentral:misc_RNA from 1 species